UCUGCAUCACCACGCGUUCAGAGAAUUUGGUUUCUGAAAAGUUUCCACGUGACAAUAAGCGGCUUCGAUGAGCUAUCAAUUGUGGCCAGGUCACUUCUGACAAAAUAACUUCCGAGCUCGGUGGGCCUUACCUGGUUAACGUAGAUCAAUAAAAUAGAUUGAAAUUGUUUCAUUUUUAGGGUCGCCGGGUUCGUUAGCGCAGUGCACUAACCGCCGCGCCACCACUCACAAGGACCCCGCCUCCCGCGUGCCUUAUAAGGAAGGCCGAGACAGAGCUGAGAGUGAGAGAGAGAGGGAGGGAGAGACUCUGAACAUCAUCGGCGGAGAGAGAAUCUGAAAUUAUUGUCGCCUCUGCUGGGAAAGGAGAGAGGGAGGAGUAGGAGGAGCCGGCCGAUCCGAGCGGUCUUCAACACCAGCCAAGAACUCUUCGCCACCAACUUCCCGUGAACGCGUCGGCGCGCGUCGGGUGGAAGAGGCGGAAGGCGUCGACGAAGCGGGGGCCAGCGGCACCGGGCCGCGACGCGGGAGGGUCUCCGCCUCCUCCGCCGCCUCCUCCGGCGCCGUCGUGGCUGUGGUCGUUGUCGGUGGGCCAAGGAGGAGGUCUCGCAGAGGAACUGGAUUCGCAGAGGAACUGGUCCAGCCACUUUCUGCCAGGGUGUUCUUGAAACAGCUCCUGCGGGUAGAAUGAAUGGUCUCCGAGCACAAUCACGUGGCUGCAAGGGACGGCGAGGAGAGGACACCGGAAAGACGCAGAGAUGCUCGCGUGACCGGGGUCAGAGCAGCGGCAGAACCAACGGCACGCAACUUACAGAACCUGUCCAGAUCCCUACCCCCACCAAAAUUAUCGGCCACUGUGAAAUUAUUAUUUUUUUCAUUUUACCAGAGGCACGUGGCUUAUCAUCGCGUGGAAAUUUAUAGCAGCCAAAUACUCGAAAGGCACGUCGAUUCUAAAUGUGGAGGCAAAAACCGGAGGACCUUGGGAAAAACUAAACAAAUAACGAUAUCGGUACCGGGGCUCCCAACCAAGGCCAUGCGGUACGGCGCGUGGCACAGUUUGGCUCCAGCUAUUAGAGUGUGGUGGUCGUGUCGCCACAGUUCUCUGCGGUGAGUGCAAUGUCUUUAAAAACAACGGUGCUACGUCCCUCUAAGUGGAAAGCCGAACCGCUCCGAGAUUCAGCGGUGAACGGGACACCCACCCUGCCACUUGCAGACUUCUCGGAAAGGGUUAAGGAUAUAUACGGUAGUAAUUUGAGCCUUCAGUCUUCACCUCUGUGCUGUUAAACUGCUCUGUGGGCACGAGUAACUGUAUUAAAAUGUACUAUUUUACU